rnacentral:rRNA from 1 species
UACGAAGGGGGCUAGCGUUGUUCGGAAUUACUGGGCGUAAAGCGCACGUAGGCGGAUAUUUAAGUCAGGGGUGAAAUCCCAGAGCUCAACUCUGGAACUGCCUUUGAUACUGGGUAUCUUGAGUAUGGAAGAGGUAAGUGGAAUUGCGAGUGUAGAGGUGAAAUUCGUAGAUAUUCGCAGGAACACCAGUGGCGAAGGCGGCUAUCUGGACUAACACUGACACUGAGACACGAAAGCGUGGGGAGCAAACAGG